AUUGAACGCUGGCGGCAUGCUUUACACAUGCAAGUCGAACGGUAACAGGUUAAGCUGACGAGUGGCGAACGGGUGAGUAAUGCAUCGGAACGUGCCCGGUCGUGGGGGAUAACGCAGCGAAAGCUGCGCUAAUACCGCAUACGAUCUGAGGAUGAAAGCGGGGGCCCGUAAGGCCUCGCGCGAUCGGAGCGGCCGAUGUCAGAUUAGGUAGUUGGUGGGGUAAAGGCUCACCAAGCCAACGAUCUGUAGCUGGUCUGAGAGGGCGACCAGCCACACUGGGACUGAGACACGGCCCAGACUCCUACGGGAGGCAGCAGUGGGGAAUUUUGGACAAUGGGCGAAAGCCUGAUCCAGCAAUGCCGCGUGCAGGAAGAAGGCCUUCGGGUUGUAAACUGCUUUUGUACGGAGCGAAAAGGUCUCCUCUAAUACAGGGGGCUCAUGACGGUACCGUAAGAAUAAGCACCGGCUAACUACGUGCCAGCCGCCGCAGUAA
rnacentral:rRNA from 1 species